CCGAAAAGUCAUCACAGCAAGGCAACCGUUCCCAUUGGGAACUGGAUUUCACACUCACCACCACAUACCACACCAUGAGGCAGUGAUAGGUGUCAUGAUAUGGAUGGAACCAGAAACCCUUAUGAGGGGGCAGCAACCUGCUGUGGGCCCUGCCUCUUGCCAGCCUAAGUCUGCACUCAGAGGGCCAUAUUCCUAAGAUGGCUUGUUCUUAUACAGACAGUGCCAACAUGCCACAGCACGAGGCAUGGAAGAGUCUGUGUGAUUGAUGUGGUUGGUACAUCGAUCUAUGUAUAUCCUUAAUGUGGCAGGAAACAAUGGUCCUGGUUUGAUAAUCAUGUUAUGCUGGCUUCUGUGUCCAACAGCGAGUCCUGAUAGUGUUCCAGCACUAGGAGAACACAUCUGUCACAUCUCUUCUGUCCUAUGAGCACCACUAAGGUCCCAGGACAGACAUUUUAAUGUGCUCAAUCUGAAAAGAAGAGAGAACCUUAUUCCACUCUGGGGUGAGAAGAGUACCCCAGAACCCCAUGCUUCCCAACCCAUUCACAACAACUUGGGAAAUUACAUUCCACCGGAUCCUUUGCUGGCCUCACCCAAUGGAUCUCCUCAGAAAAAAACUGAGGAGGACUUCACAGGCGACUCUGGCCAGUAUGGGAGGGAGAUCUGGCCUCUCACAUUGUGAUCCCCCUAAGACAACUGUAUUGUUCACCUGCCCCCAUCCCCAGGAAUAUAAAGCCACUGUCCAGGCUGCCAAGGACUGGCGACCCUCCUGCCCUCAGCCAACUGAUCGGAGGGGAUACAGAUGACCUAGUCUUUUUACUGAGAGUGUUUUGGAGUGCCACAAACAUGAGCUGUAUCAGAUGCCGCUCUUCUUCUGAAGCUGGUGAGCUGUGAUCUGGUCAGGAGGGAGGGAAAGGAGGCUGUCCCAGUCCAUGCCCUCUCAAGGACACUCAGGUCAGUGUGUAGCAGUCCCUGGACUGUCACCUGUGUAGCCAGGCUGCUUUGAAGGACUGUUCUGACUAGCGGCCCUCAAGUUGGACUCAUCUAACUCUCUAUGCAGCUCUGUGGGACAGGAUGGAAGUCACCAACCUCAACCAGCACAUGUCCAGACCUGUAGCUAUGACACUAUGGGAUGGAGCUACACCCCCCUACUUGAAGGUUUAGUCCCCUCACCCCUCGGGAGAUCUCAUACCCCUCACAUUUAGCCAGUUCUAGGGAGUUUGUGCGUUUUUCUUAAGACUAGAUGCUAGAGCCAGGGUGAGGGUGUAUGCCUAUAAUCCCAGGACUCUGGAGGCUUAGACAGGAGACUAGCCAUAAAUUCAGGGCCAGCUUGGGCUAUAUAAGAAGCAGUAGUCUAGCU